CCCACUUUCACCUUCAACCAUGAGGUGCUUCUCAUGCACAAUCACACAAUUCCCACUUGAGAUAGGAAGUAGUUGUUGGCCAUCCAUCAGAUUGAAUGUGGUUGCAUGCUUAGAUUCAAUAAAAACACUCAGAUUUGAAGAUGAAUCAAAGGUACUUGAGCUGGAAAAUAGUUUCUGCUACCUCAUCUUCUUUCUCACAAACCCUUUCAAUUUCCUUCACCAAGUUCACUUAAAUUCAAGUUCCACCACUCAAAUUCAAGACUGAGAAUAGUAGAGAAGAUCUCUUGAUGGUUCACUGUCAAUUUGGAGUUGAUUUGGAGCGAAGAACAACUUGGAAUUGAAAAAUUUCAUCAAAGAUUAUGCUGCCAAUCAAGGCACUGUCCGAGUUCUUCAAUUGCUGCUUCGUCCGUUCGCGAGUACUGUGAGUGGCACAACCCAGUCCUACGCACAGUCCACUUGUAGAUCGCGACCAUUCGGUUGUCCGUCGCCCCCAAGUCCCGCUGCCGUCAGAUCUCAUCAGAAUCUUGGGGUUUUGGAUUCGAGAUUUAGGGGAAGUUUUGAAGUUGAAAGCAUGCCGUCCAAUGGUAUCAAAGCUCGAUUUGGGUUUUUCAGGUAAGGGUGAGGACAAACUGACGCAUGAUAGAAAGAAUCUAAGACUGUGCCCAUGGGACUAGACUGACGAUUUCGCAUAUGUUUUUCCAUGUCUUUCAUGUUUUAGUUUUUAGCAAACGAUCUACUAAAUUCUAUUUUAAAAUUCAUGUUUAGGAGUACCUCGAUCCAAGGUUUUAUAUUAUUUAAACUUUUAAUUUGUCCAAAUUCUGUACUUUAAAUAAAAAGGUUUGUUUCAUUUUGCUUAAGUUGCAAGAUGUUUAUUUUUAAGCUUAUGCAUGCAUAUGUAACAUCCUAAUAGUAUAUGUUAGA